ensembl:snRNA U6 U6 spliceosomal RNA
GUGCUCGAUUCGGCAGCACAUACGCUAAACUUGGAACGACAUGGAGAACAUUAGCACGGCUCCUGAGAAAGGACGACAUGCAAACUCAUGAUGGGAAACACUGCUGU